CAGUCGCCGCGGGAAAACGAAGGGGGCUAGCGUUGUUCGGAAUCACUGGGCGUAAAGCGCACGUAGGCGGACUUUUAAGUCAGAGGUGAAAUCCCAAGGCUCAACCUUGGAACUGCCUUUGAUACUGGAAGUCUUGAGUUCGGGAGAGGUGAGUGGAACUGCGAGUGUAGAGGUGAAAUUCGUAGAUAUUCGCAAGAACACCAGUGGCGAAGGCGGCUAACUGGUCCAUAACUGACGCUGAGGUGCGAAAGCGUGGGGAGCAAACAGGAUUAGAUACCCCUGUAGUCCCUGUCUCUUAUAC
rnacentral:rRNA from 1 species